UCGGAACGCUGGCGGCGUGCCUAACACAUGCAAGUCGAACGAAGAAUGUUUUCGGAAUAUUCUUAGUGGCGAACGGGUGAGUAACACGUGGGAAAUCUGCCUUUAAGUCGAGGAUAACUGCUGGAAACGGCAGCUAAAACUGGAUAGGUUAUAUUGGGGCAUCCUGAUAUAAUUAAAAGUCCUUUACGGGAAUGCUUAAAGAUGAUCCUGCGUCGCAUUAGCUAGUUGGUGAGGUAGCGGCUCACCAAGGCGACGAUGCGUAGCUGUGCUGAGAGGCAAAACAGCCACACUGGGACUGAGACACGGACCAGACUCCUACGGGAGGCAGCAGUGAGGAAUAUUGGUCAAUGGGCGAGAGCCUGAACCAGCCAAAUCGCGUGAAGGAUGAAGGUAUUAUGUAUUGUAAACCUCUUUUACAGGGGAAUAAAGUGCGGGACGUGUCCCGUUUUGUAUGUACCCUGAGAAUAAGGAUCGGCUAACUCCGUG
rnacentral:rRNA from 1 species